AAUUGACCUCGGAUCAGGUAGGGAUACCCGCUGAACUUAAGCAUAUCAAUAAGCGGAGGAAAAGAAACCAACAGGGAUUGCCUCAGUAACGGCGAGUGAAGCGGCAACAGCUCAAAUUUGAAAUCUGACCCCGCCGGGGUUCGAGUUGUAAUUUGUAGAGGAUGUUUCGGGCGCGAAGCCGGUCUAAAUCCCUUGGAACGGGGCGUCGUAGAGGGUGAGAAUCCCGUAUGUGACCGGCGAUCAAGCCUCUGUGAAACUCCUUCGACGAGUCGAGUUGUUUGGGAAUGCAGCUCAAAACGGGUGGUAAAUUUCAUCUAAAGCUAAAUAUUGGCCAGAGACCGAUAGCGCACAAGUAGAGUGAUCGAAAGAUGAAAAGCACUUUGGAAAGAGAGUCAAAAAGUACGUGAAAUUGUUGAAAGGGAAGCGCUUGCAACCAGACCUGCCCGCGGGCGAUCAGCCGUCCCUUCCGGGGGCGGUGCACGCGCCCGCGAACAGGCCAGCAUCGGUUCGAGCGGCCGGAUAAAGGCCUGGGGAACGUAGCUCCUCUCGGGGAGUGUUAUAGCCCCGGGUGCAAUGCGGCCCGCCUGGACCGAGGACCGCGCUUCGGCUAGGAUGCUGGCGUAAUGGUUGUAAGCGGCCCGUCUUGAAACACGGACCAAGGAGUCUAACAUCUAUGCGAGUGUUUGGGUGUUAAACCCAUGCGCGUAAUGAAAGUAAACGGAGGUAGGAACCCAUCAGGGCGCACUAUCGACCGAUCCUGAUGUCUUCGGAUGGAUUUGAGUACGAGCAUGGCUGUUGGGACCCGAAAGGUAUGUUUUAAAUCUUCUGUUUUAUUCCAAGGAUCGUUAGCUAAUUGUGUUGCUCCAGAUGGUGAACUAUGCCUGAAUAGGGUGAAGCCAGAGGAAACUCUGGUGGAGGCUCGCAGCGGUUCUGACGUGCAAAUCGAUCGUCAAAUUUGGGUAUAGGGGCGAAAGACUAAUCGAACCAUCUAGUAGCUGGUUCCAGCCGAAGUUUCCCUCAAGGA
rnacentral:rRNA from 1 species